rnacentral:rRNA from 1 species
GCCUGAUGCAGCGACGCCGCGUGAGGGAUGACGGCCUUCGGGUUGUAAACCUCUUUCAGCAGGGACGAAGCGCAAGUGACGGUACCUGUAGAAGAAGGACCGGCCAACUACGUGCCAGCAGCCGCGGUAAUACGUAGGGUCCGAGCGUUGUCCGGAAUUACUGGGCGUAAAGAGCUCGUAGGUGGUUUGUCGCGUUGUUCGUGAAAACUCACAGCUCAACUGUGGGCGUGCGGGCGAUACGGGCAGACUUGAGUACUGCAGGGGAGACUGGAAUUCCUGGUGUAGCGGUGGAAUGCGCAGAUAUCAGGAGGAACACCGGUGGCGAAGGCGGGUCUCUGGGCAGUAACUGACGCUGAGGAGCGAAAGCGUGGGGAGCGAACAGGAUUAGAUACCCUGGUAGUCCACGCCGUAAACGGUGGGUACUAGGUGUGGGUUUCCUUCCUUGGGAUCCGUGCCGUAGCUAACGCAUUAAGUACCCCGCCUGGGGAGUACGGCCGCAAGGCUAAAACUCAAAGAAAUUGACGGGGGCCCGCACAAGCGGCGGAGCAUGUGGAUUAAUUCGAUGCAACGCGAAGAACCUUACCUGGGUUUGACAUGCACAGGACGCUGGUAGAGAUAUCAGUUCCCUUGUGGCCUGUG